GAUGAACGCUGGCGGCGUGCCUAAUACAUGCAAGUCGAGCGAAUGGAUUAAGAGCUUGCUCUUAUGAAGUUAGCGGCGGACGGGUGAGUAACACGUGGGUAACCUGCCCAUAAGACUGGGAUUACUCCGGGAAACCGGGGCUAAUACCGGAUAACAUUUUGAACCGCAUGGUUCGAAAUUGAAAGGCGGCUUCGGCUGUCACUUAUGGAUGGACCCGCGUCGCAUUAGCUAGUUGGUGAGGUAACGGCUCACCAAGGCAACGAUGCGUAGCCGACCUGAGAGGGUGGUCGGCCACACUGGGACUGAGACACGGCCCAGACUCCUACGGGAGGCAGCAGUAGGGAAUCUUCCGCAAUGGACGAAAGUCUGACGGAGCAACGCCGCGUGAGUGAUGAAGGCUUUCGGGUCAUAAAACUCUGUUGUUAGGGAAGAACAAGUGCUAGUUGAAUAAGCUGGCACCUUGACGGUACCUAACCAGAAAGCCACGGCUAACUACGUGCCAGCAGCCGCGGUAA
rnacentral:rRNA from 1 species